CUGCAGACUCAAGACUCUUCUUUUCAUUUCCUGGGAGACAGUGAAGCAGAGGACCUAGCUACAGCAUAGCUGGAUUGUUGACCCAUAGAAACUGUAAUUCCAUGGAAGUGCUGAGGACAGGAGAGCCACGCUGGAGAGAAAGUUUGCUAAAGCACAGAAGAGGAUGCUAAGGAAACUUCUCCAGCUUUGCUGCCUGCUCUGAGCUCCGGAAGAAACUCCCAUAGCCAGUGCAGACGCUGAUACAAGAAGGGGCUCAAUUUUCAAAUAACAAGAGCCUUCGAAAGGUGGACAUAUGCUUUCUUUUACCAAAUCAUCCCCUCCAAAUUGAAUUAUCUUGUGAAUUUAUCAGACUAGUAAAGCCAAC
rnacentral:lncRNA from 10 species